rnacentral:rRNA from 1 species
GAUGAACGCUGGCGGCGUGCUUAACACAUGCAAGUCGAGCGAGAAGUUUUGACCAGCUUCUUCGGAUGAAGUUUAAAAUGGAAAUCGCCCGACGGGAGAGUAACGCGUAGGCAACCUGAACCAUACAAAGGGAUAGCAUAUGGAGACGAAUAUUAAUACCUUAUGAGACUUAACUAGUGCAUGCUAGGUAGGUUAAAGAGAUAUCGGGCUUGGAUGGUCCUUCGUCUGAUUAGCUAGUUGGUUAGUUAACGGCUCACCAAGGCCACGAUCAGUAGCCGACCUGGGAGAGCGAACGGCCAGAUAGGGACAGAGACCCGAUCCAACCUCGUACGGGAGGAAGGAGGGAGGAAGAUUGAACGACGGGGGAAACCCGCAGGCAGCAAGGCCGCGUGAACGCGGAAGUCCUUUGGGACGCAAAGUUCUGUUCUAGGGGAGGAAAACUGACGGUAACUUAGGAGAAAGCCCCGGCUAACUACGUG